GCUGGUUUGGCUCACUGGAUAGAGCAUCAGCCUGUAGACUGAAGGCUCCCAGGUUCAAUUCCGGUAAUGGGCA
rfam:Myotis davidii contig206369, whole genome shotgun sequence.